AUUGAACGCUGGCGGCAUGCUUUACACAUGCAAGUCGAACGGUAACAGCACUUCGGUGGCUGACGAGUGGCGCACGGGUGAGUAAUACAUCGGAACGUGCCUAGUAGUGUGGGAUAACUACUCGAAAGAGUAGCUAAUACCGCAUGAGAUCUAAGGAUGAAAGCAGGGGACCUUCGGGCCUUGCGCUACUAGAGCGGCUGAUGGCAGAUUAGGUAGUUGGUGGGAUAAAAGCUUACCAAGCCGACGAUCUGUAGCUGGUCUGAGAGGACGACCAGCCACACUGGGACUGAGACACGGCCCAGACUCCUACGGGAGGCAGCAGUGGGGAAUUUUGGACAAUGGGCGCAAGCCUGAUCCAGCAAUGCCGCGUGCAGGAUGAAGGCCUUCGGGUUGUAAACUGCUUUUGUACGGAACGAAAAGCCCUCUUCUAAUACAGGAGGGUCAUGACGGUACCGUAAGAAUAAGCACCGGCUAACUACGU
rnacentral:rRNA from 1 species